rnacentral:rRNA from 1 species
UACGUAGGUGACAAGCGUUGUCCGGAUUUACUGGGCGUAAAGCGCACGUAGGCGGAUCGAUCAGUCAGGGGUGAAAUCCCAGGGCUCAACCCUGGAACUGCCUUUGAUACUGUCGAUCUGGAGUAUGGAAGAGGUGAGUGGAAUUCCGAGUGUAGAGGUGAAAUUCGUAGAUAUUCGGAGGAACACCAGUGGCGAAGGCGGCUCACUGGUCCAUUACUGACGCUGAGGUGCGAAAGCGUGGGGAGCAAACAGG